GCAGUCGAGCGGUAGCACAGAGAGCUUGCUCUCGGGUGACGAGCGGCGGACGGGUGAGUAAUGUCUGGGAAACUGCCUGAUGGAGGGGGAUAACUACUGGAAACGGUAGCUAAUACCGCAUAACGUCGCAAGACCAAAGUGGGGGACCUUCGGGCCUCAUGCCAUCAGAUGUGCCCAGAUGGGAUUAGCUAGUAGGUGGGGUAACGGCUCACCUAGGCGACGAUCCCUAGCUGGUCUGAGAGGAUGACCAGCCACACUGGAACUGAGACACGGUCCAGACUCCUACGGGAGGCAGCAGUGGGGAAUAUUGCACAAUGGGCGCAAGCCUGAUGCAGCCAUGCCGCGUGUGUGAAGAAGGCCUUCGGGUUGUAAAGCACUUUCAGCGGGGAGGAAGGCGAUGAGGUUAAUAACCUCGUCGAUUGACGUUACCCGCAGAAGAAGCACCGGCUAACUCCGUGCCAGCAGCCGCGGUAAUACGGAGGGUGCAAGCGUUAAUCGGAAUUACUGGGCGUAAAGCGCACGCAGGCGGUCUGUCAAGUCGGAUGUGAAAUCCCCGGGCUCAACCUGGGAACUGCAUUCGAAACUGGCAGGCUAGAGUCUUGUAGAGGGGGGUAGAAUUCCAGGUGUAGCGGUGAAAUGCGUAGAGAUCUGGAGGAAUACCGGUGGCGAAGGCGGCCCCCUGGACAAAGACUGACGCUCAGGUGCGAAAGCGUGGGGAGCAAACAGGAUUAGAUACCCUGGUAGUCCACGCCGUAAACGAUGUCGAUUUGGAGGUUGUGCCCUUGAGGCGUGGCUUCCGGAGCUAACGCGUUAAAUCGACCGCCUGGGGAGUACGGCCGCAAGGUUAAAACUCAAAUGAAUUGACGGGGGCCCGCACAAGCGGUGGAGCAUGUGGUUUAAUUCGAUGCAACGCGAAGAACCUUACCUGGUCUUGACAUCCACAGAACUUUCCAGAGAUGCAUUGGUGCCUUCGGGAACUGUGAGACAGGUGCUGCAUGGCUGUCGUCAGCUCGUGUUGUGAAAUGUUGGGUUAAGUCCCGCAACGAGCGCAACCCUUAUCCUUUGUUGCCAGCGGUUAGGCCGGGAACUCAAAGGAAAAUGGCACUCAUCAACUCGCCGCACGCAGGGGA
rnacentral:rRNA from 1 species